CCCUUCCUACGGGGGGCAGCAGUAGGGAAUCUUCCACAAUGGGCGAAAGCCUGAUGGAGCAACGCCGCGUGGGUGAAGAAGGUCUUCGGAUCGUAAAACCCUGUUGUUAGAGAAGAAAGUGCGUGAGAGUAACUGUUCACGUUUCGACGGUGUCUAACCAGAAAGCCACGGCUAACUACGUGCCAGCAGCCGCGGUAAUACGUAGGUGGCAAGCGUUAUCCGGCUUUAUUGGGCGUAAAGGGAACGCAGGCGGUCUUUUAAGUCUGAUGUGAAAGCCUUAUGCU
rnacentral:rRNA from 1 species